UUGAAUGGCCGCAGUAUUUUGACUGUGCAAAGGUAGCAUAAUCAUUAGUUUUUUAAUUAGAAACUGGAAUGAAAGGUUGAACAAGGAAAAAACUGUCUCUAUUUAAUUUUUAUUAAAAUUUUAUUUUUAAGUUAAAAAGCUUAAAUAAUUUUAAAAGACGAGAAGACCCUAUAAAGUUUUAUAUAUAAGUAAAUAAAUUGUAAUUAGAAUAAUAUGUAGUUAAUUUUUAAAUAUAUUUUGUUGGGGUGAUGGAAAAAUUUAAUAAACUUUUUAUUAAAAAAACAUUAAUUUAUGAAUUUUUGAUCCAAUAAUAUUGAUUAAAAGAAUAAAUUACUUUAGGGAUAACAGCGUUAUUUCUUUAAAGAGUUCAAAUCGAAAAAGAAGUUUGCGACCUCGAUGUUGGAUUAAAAUUAAAUUUUGGUGUAGAAGCUAAAAAUUUAGGUCUGUUCGACCUUUAAAAUUUUACAUGAUCUGAGUUUAAACCGGUGUGAGCCAGGUUGGUUUCUAUCUUUAUAAUAAUAUAAUAUUUUAGUACGAAAGGACCCAAUAUUAAUAAUAUUUAUUUUAAUUUGAAUAAUAAU
rnacentral:rRNA from 1 species